UACGUAGGCAGCAAGCGUUGUUCGGAGUUACUGGGCGUAAAGGGUGUGUAGGCGGUUGUUUAAGUUUGGUGUGAAAUCUCCCGGCUCAACUGGGAGGGUGCGCCGAAUACUGAAUGACUUGGAGUACGGGAGAGGAAAGGUGGAAUUCCUGGUGUAGCGGUGAAAUGCGCAGAUAUCAGGAAGAACACCCGUGGCGAAAGCGGCUCUCUGGAACGGUACUGACGCUGAGACGCGAAAGCGUGGGGAGCGAACGGG
rnacentral:rRNA from 1 species